rnacentral:rRNA from 1 species
GACAUGUGGACAGUAUGGGAGUGAGAAUGUUGGCAUGAGUAGCGAGAUGUGGGUGAGAAUCCCACAGGCCGUAAACCCAAGGUUUCCAGGGGAAGGUUCGUCCGCCCUGGGUUAGUCGGGACCUAAGCUGAGGCCGAAAGGCGUAGGUGAUGGACAACAGGUUGAUAUUCCUGUACUACCGAUAACCGUUUGAGAGAAGGGAUGACACAGUAGGAUAAGCUAAGCACACUGUUGGUUAUGUGUGCCCAAGCAUUGAGGCAGUCAAAGUAGGCAAAUCCGCUUUGAUAAUGCUGGGAUGUGAUGGGGAGCGAAAUUUAGUAGCGAAGUAGCUGAUUUCACACUGUCAAGAAAAGUCUCUAUCGAGGUUAAAGGUACCCGUACCGCAAACCGACACAGGUGGGUGAGGAGAGUAUCCUAAGGCCAGCGAGAGAACUGUUGUUAAGGAACUCGGCAAAAUGACCCCGUAACUUAGGGAUAAGGGGUGCCACCAUCAGGUGGCCGCAGAGAAUAGGCCCAAGCGACUGUUUACCAAAAACAUAGGUUUCUGCUAAGUCGCAAGACGAUGUAUAGGAGCUGACGCCUGCCCGGUGCUGGAAGGUUAAGGGGAUCUGUUAGAGCAAUCGAAGCAGUGAACUUAAGCCCCAGUAAACGGCGGCCGUAACUAUAACGGUCCUAAGGUAGCGAAAUUCCUUGUCGGGUAAGUUCCGACCCGCACGAAAGGCGUAACGAUUUGGGCACUGUCUCAACAACAGACUCGGUGAAAUUGUAAUUCCGGUGAAGAUGCCGGAUACCUGCGACAGGACGGAAAGACCCCAUGGAGCUUUACUGUAGCUUGACAUUGGGUCUUGGUACUACAUGUACAGGAUAGGUGGGAGGCUUUGAAACCAGGACGCCAGUUUUGGCGGAGCCAUCCUUGGGAUACCACCCUUGUAGUACUGGGACUCUAACCAUAGGCCAUGAAUCUGGUCUUGGGACACUGUCAGGUGGGCAGUUUGACUGGGGCGGUCGCCUCCCAAAAGGUAACGGAGGCGCUCAAAGGUUCUCUCAGUACGGUCGGAAAUCGUACGUAGAGUGUAAAGGCAAAAGAGAGCUUGAUUGCAAGACAUACAGGUCGAGCAAGGAUGAAAAUCGGACUUAGUGAUCCGGUGGUUCUGCGUGGAAGGGCCAUCGCUCAACGGAUAAAAGCUACCCUGGGGAUAACAGGCUUAUCUCCCCCAAGAGUCCACAUCGACGGGGAGGUUUGGCACCUCGAUGUCGGCUCAUCACAUCCUGGGGCUGUAGUAGGUCCCAAGGGUUGGGCUGUUCGCCCAUUAAAGUGGUACGCGAGCUGGGUUCAGAACGUCGUGAGACAGUUCGGUCCCUAUCCGUCGCAGGCGUAGGAAAUUUGAGAAGACCUGUCCUUAGUACGAGAGGACCGGGAUGGACGUACCUCUGGUGUACCAGUUGUUCUGCCAAGGGCAUGGCUGGGUAGCUAUGUACGGAAUGGAUAAGCGCUGAAAGCAUCUAAGCGCGAAGCCAACU